rnacentral:rRNA from 1 species
GACGAACGCUGGCGGCGUGCCUAAUACAUGCCAGUAGAACGCUGAAGCGAGGAGCUUGCUCUUCUUGGAUGAGUUGCGAACGGGUGAGUAACGCGUAGGUAACCUGCCUUGUAGCGGGGGAUAACUAUUGGAAACGAUAGCUAAUACCGCAUAACAAUGGAUGACACAUGUCAUUUAUUUGAAAGGGGCAAUUGCUCCACUACAAGAUGGACCUGCGUUGUAUUAGCUAGUAGGUGAGGUAAUGGCUCACCUAGGCGACGAUACAUAGCCGACCUGAGAGGGUGAUCGGCCACACUGGGACUGAGACACGGCCCAGACUCCUACGGGAGGCAGCAGUAGGGAAUCUUCGGCAAUGGGGGCAACCCUGACCGAGCAACGCCGCGUGAGUGAAGAAGGUUUUCGGAUCGUAAAGCUCUGUUGUAAGUCAAGAACGGGUGUGAGAGUGGAAAGUUCACACUGUGACGGUAGCUUACCAGAAAGGGACGGCUAACUACGUG